rnacentral:misc_RNA from 1 species
AACUGAUACUACCUGCGGGAACCUGCGGAGGGAUCAUUACUGAAGUGAUUUGGGGAUGUUGCUGGCCCUCUCUCAAGGGGGGGCACUGUGCACUCCUCGAGACAAUUCACAAUUUCCAUCACACCCCUUGUGCACACCUUGUAGGCACCCAAACCCACCUCCGGGUGGUGGGGUCCUAUGUAUUCCUUCAUCUCACACUCUGUUGAAUGGUGCCAUGGGACGCAUCUAAAGGAUUAUUUG